GAUAUGACUGACGUAUGACGUGACGUUUUCAAAUUAAACGUGUGUAAAGGUUUAUAAUUUAUUAUAUUCUGCUUCACUAAAAACCCUACAUGAGGCUAGUGGUACAAUGGGAAGUAUCCUCCCAUGCUAUCUACAUUGGUUUAAGAAGGGGGAUGUAGACGUAGGUUGUAACUAUUUAGGAGUAAAGUCAGUGUAGGGAGACACCUCACCGAGUGCAAACGGCCUUGUGUCGUCGACAGACACUCGAAAGAAAAGUUGCUGGUAAUACAAAUAAACACACACUGAAACACAUAUUUAUUUGGAAAGCCAGCAAGUUUUCUUCCCCUACUGUGUGUGCCGGUCGACGACUAGGCGCUUCUUCUGUUCGGUGAGCAGUCUCUUGUACGUGUAAAUAUUUACGUUCUACCACAACUUUCGUUAUCAUACGGAUGUGUACGUAGUUGUUUUACUAAAGACCCCAUGACUUGAAGAAGCGCUUAAAGCACAUUAAUUGUAUGGGAUAUUCCGUGUAUGGUAGGGCACCCGAUAUUUAAAAGUUUAAAAUUCGGUACUUUUUAUUUAUUUUUUUUUAAGAUUGGACUUUUUAAUGUAUGGUAACAAUAGUUUUUGGUCCAUUAUUGCUUUCCCUCCAUAAUUUGUAGCCAUGUUUAUUAUUCCAUAUGUUUUGAAUACGAUGAGAGUGUGAAUUAUUGGAGAUUUUGGACCUUCAUUUGAACUAAUUGGCAGGUUAGAAGAAGAUGACGUCCUCAGCAACAGCAGAGAGACAGAGCAGGAGGGAAAAGUUAAAAAGUGAACGAAAAUAUGAAGAAUUUAAGAAGAAGCUUGAAAAAGUCAGCAGAAGCAAAAACAAAAGUUUUUACAAUUGGGUCAACAUGAUCAACGACUGUUAUUAGAAGAAAGAAGAGCUAAAGCUAGGGACAGAGUUAGAAAACAUAAGAUGCAAGAUCAACAGCCUAGUAAAUCAGGUUUGUCACUGUAUAAGUCACAUAUUGCUCUGGUUAAAGCCAUGGCUCGUGUGUUGCAGUUGUGUACAUUAACAAGGCACUGUCUACUAUACCUGAAAAUGUGAAGGUAGUUUCAAUAUGGUCAGAUGGACUUGUCUCACAAUUUAAAAACAAAUAUAUUAACACUGCUGUACCUCAGUUUCAAUCAUUACAUGAUGGUGGAAAUCGAUUGGACCGUAUUCACCACAUACCAUGCUAAAGGAGCUGUAUGUAGAUGGAAUUGGUGCAGUUGCAGAAUAGCAAGUGUGGAAUGCAGUAAAAAAAGCGAAAAUUCAUAGUUGAUGCAUCAUCUACUCACGCAGCUGCAAGUACCACAACUAUGCAGGUUUUUCCUAUAUCUCUUCAUGAAAUUCAAGGAAUCAAUGUGUAACUUAAUCUGGCACAAAUAUUUUCUUCAGCACCAUCAGUAUCAAACAUAAAAAUCAUUCACUGCUUUCACUUCAAGAAAGGAACACAAAAAAUAUCUGCUGUCACCAAAGAAUUUCGCUGCUGCAGAUACUGAAGAAACUAUAGGAAGUGUGAAAAUUUAAGACUGGUACAAAGUAGAAUAUGACAGUAAAUUCAAUGCUGCAAAAGUACGUGCAAUUUUUGGAAAUUCUUACCUAAUCUGUACAAUGGAGUGUGCUGGUAACAUUGGAAAUGGCCUGUAAAAUGUAUUGAAAUUAUAAAGAAAAGUAAUCUGCUUGA